rnacentral:sRNA from 1 species
AACUAGCCCCGAUUGAAGCAAGUAUCCUUUUAUAAAGCUUCCAGCCUUUUAAAGGCUGGAAGCUUUAUAAAAGAUACUGCGAAAAGCGGGAGGAUUA